GCCCUGGUUGAUUAAUGGUAAAUCACCCACACCCCUUUAAACUUCUCUUGGGUGGAUUGAUGUGGGAGACGGAGGUUCGAAUCCUCCCUGAGGCA